GGACCACCUUAGUGGAAGGGGGACAAUCAGAGCCUUUGGCCUGCCAUGUGCACGAGCAUCACAAUUGCUUUUGUUUAACAUCAGAUGGAAUAUCUGAUCCAUUUCAACCAGGCAUUUUGCAUCUUGGUAUGCUGUCUUAAUUGCCAAAGUUUGUUUUAAGUCUUAAACUUCCAUGAUCCUCUAGUAAAAUGAAUGUUUCCUUUAGCACCUUGGGAUUUCAAUUAUCCUUUGCUAUUAAUAAGACCUUGUUUAGUCUAAAUUAACUUAGAAUUGGUAUAGAUG
rnacentral:lncRNA from 10 species